CCGCGCGCGGAGGGCGGGGCGGGGGCACNGGGGGCCUACGGGAGGCAGCAGUGGGGAAUCUUGCGCAAUGGGCGAAAGCCUGACGCAGCAACGCCGCGUGGGGGACGAAGGCCUUCGGGUUGUAAACCCCUUUCAGCAGGGACGAAAAUGACGGUACCUGCAGAAGAAGCCCCGGCCAACUACGUGCCAGCAGCCGCGGUAAU
rnacentral:rRNA from 1 species